GCCACUUGAUGUGUGAUUGACAUAUGACAGUGCUGUACAGGAACAUGUCUGCUCCCUUGACUGAUGGCU